UAAUUGUCUCGAUCUCUGGGCUUGGUCUUAUCUUAGUGAACUCGUUCGUUCAAAUUGUUGUUGACCUCAAUGUGAUUUUACUUGCGUAACUCGUGUGAACGUAACGUGCAGAUAUAUGUGCUUACCAAAUUACGAUUUCUGUAAGCUGCAAACGAUGCCCGUGAAUCGAGCGGCCAUAUUCCAGCUGACGUUGCUGUUACUGAUUGUUCCCAUUCAGUAUCUAAUCACCCAAUGGAAGCCAGUCAGUAACACAGAGAGGACGCACAACUUGCAAAAUUUAAUGGUCAAACUAACGGCGUGGAAAAAGAAAGUCCUGUCGUUAAAGACAUGGAAGCAGUGCUAUGAGAAUGCCAUCAAGUAUGUGACAGGAAGCUUUGAGAAGUAUGCCUACCCAACCACGGCUGAAGAUGACACAGACAGGGGAGAGUCCCCCGCUGUAGAGGUGCUUCGUUACAAGGAUAAAAGUGGAUAUUUUGCAGGGUCAACAGAGCCGAGGAGCCCGAGGUCAACAAAGGUCAAAUACCGCAUUGGUCAGGUGAUCCGUCACAAGGUCUGGGGAUACCGAGGGGUCAUCGUGGGAUGGGAUGAAACGGCAAAGGCUCCCAAAGAAUGGAUUCAGCAAAUGCAUGGCAAUCAUAAGCAUUGGCGCAAUUUGCCCAGUUACUCAGUUCUAGUGGACACAAGAGACCGGAUGGACGUCCAAACAACAUACGUCGUGGAGGAAAACAUAGAGAUUAUCAGAAAUACAAAGAUAGUACACCCCGACGUGGAGGACUAUUUUGAGAAGUUUGACGGCACGCGCUACCUGGCUCGGCCCUGGCUGAAAAAGAUUUACCCCCAUGACCAGUGACGUUUUUCCAAGCUUUUUUGUCCUGUUGAAAAGACCAGUAACCCAAAGUUUUAAUUCUUCCAAAGUUGCAUGUCCUCGACCUCUUUUUUUUUUUGGUCAUAUUGCAACCAGACCAGUUUGCUUUGUGUUUUUACAUUGAUUCAUUUUUUUCCCCUUAGAUCAAGAAGGUUUAGGAGUAAUUUAUUGGCCUGGUGAGCAGGGAUAAUCACCUUAUUAACCUUUGGGGGAUACUUGUCCAUUCAGUAGUUCUCAUGGGGCAAAAAAUCCAUGCUGUAAACGGGCAAUUCUUGAUAUGAUCGGCAAAGUGCAACAAAUGAAUGUAAAUAUUGUUCGACAAGUCAACGUGAAAGCAAUAUACACUCCUUUUCCCAAUGCAUUCCAACGGAUCUGCUAGUGACCGGCACCUUGACAGAUCUUAGGCUGCUGGCUUUAGUGCAUCCGUUGUUCAUUCUCUGGUUCUUAUUUCUUCCUGACCUGUAAUUUUGGCUUCAUUUUCUAUGCCGCCGAGCCUGUCUGGAAUUUCCUACCAAGAAGAAAAAUGAUGAUCAUAAGAAUUUUUUUGGGGGGGAAGGGAGAAAGAGAAAAUUUUUUUUUACCCACCAAGUAAAAAAAAAUGACAACCACGGAAUUAACUCUGGAUGCCCGUAUAAGCCAGUGGAUAAGGCAUUCAUUCAUAACCUUUGCAGUUGAAACCAAACUAACAUUCUUCAAAGCUUUGCUUCAUCUUUAGCAACUGGAUAAUUCAUAUUUGAAGACAUUCUUUUGAAAAUGCUGCUUCUUGAAUUGUGCCUCUCUUCCAUAGGUGUAAAUUAGUUACUUAGUUGAAAUGUCCAUCUGCAAUCUGGACAUGUUUGCUGAUCUUAUUAUUUCUGGGAUUGCUUAUCCCAAGUCCAAGAGCGAUCUUGCUCCGUGACUUGAGUUGAAAUUGGUCUCCAGCUACAUGAAUGUGUUAUCUCUUCCGUGAAUAAUCAGAAAUCAAGACACUAUGAAGAUUUUUCAAUUACGGCAUUUUAAGAUUUCUUAAAGAAGAAAUUGGCGAAAUGUGGAUGUAGCACAUGGUGAAGCCUGGAAAAUCUUUCACCGUUUUACUUGAAAAUUUCAUCUCAUUUACCCUUUUCAAAGCAGCAGUGACUUCUGUUUUCAGAUUGUGAAUGGGUCAAGAUUGCCUUCAAGAACAAACGGUACUUCAACUGAAUACAGUUGUCGUGUCGCCUUAUGUAUAUAUUAUUGUGAAAGGAAUAAAUUAUAUGCACUUGGCAAGCUUUAUUCUUUA
rnacentral:misc_RNA from 1 species